rnacentral:rRNA from 1 species
UUACGGAAGGCAGCAGUGAGGAAUAUUGCGCAAUGGGGGAAACCCUGACGCAGCAACGCCGCGUGAAGGAAGAAGGUCUUCGGAUUGUAAACUUUUUUGGUCAGGGAAGAGAGAGGACUGUACCUGAAGAACAAGCCACGGCAAACUACGUGCCAGCAGCCGCGGUAAUACGUAGGUGGCAAGCGUUGUCCGGAAUUACUGGGUGUAAAGGGCGAGUAGGCGGGAGUAGAAGUCAUGUGUGAAAUACCGUGAAAAGAGCACGGCAAUGCAUGUGAAACUAGACUUCUUGAGUGCUGGAGAGGGAAGCGGAAUUCCUAGUGUAGCGGUGAAAUGCGUAGAUAUUAGGAGGAACACCAGUGGCGAAGGCGGCUUUCUGGACAGUAACUGACGCUGAGGCGCGAAAGCGUGGGGAGCAAACAGGAUUAGAUACCCCAGUAGUC